AUGUUGGUGACCUUCAGAUGGGGUUUCUGUGUGAAUGUCCUUUUUGUUGAUGUUGAAGCUAUUUCUGUUUGUUUUCCUUUUAACAGUCAGGCCACUCUGCUGCAGGUCUGCUGCAGUUUGCUGGAGGUCCACUGCAGAUCCUGUUUGCCUGAGUAUCAUCAGCAGAGUGUGCAGAACAGCAAAGAUUGCUGCCUGUUCCUUCUCUGUAAGCUUUGCCCCAGAGGGGCACCCGCCAGAUGCCAGCUGGAGCUCUCCUUUAUGAGGUGUCUUAUUGACCCCUGCUGGGAGGUAUCUCUCAGUCAGGAGACACAGGGAUCAGGGACCCACUUCAGGAGGCAGUCUGCUCUUAGCAGAGCCCAAGCACUGUGCUGGGAGAUCUGCUGCUCUCUUCAGAGUCAGCAGGCAGGAUGGUUUAAGUCUGCUAAAGUUGUGCCCACAGCUGCCCUUUGCCCCAGGUUGUGAAGACCAGGAGAAAACCAUAGUGUCUGGGCCAGAAUGCACCACUCCUCAUGGCACAGUUCCACAGCCAUUCCUCAUGGAUUCCCUUGGCCGGGGAGAGAGUUCCCUGACCCCUUGCACUUCCCAGGUAAGGUGAUGCCCCAUCCUGCUUCAGCUCACCCUCUGAGGGCUGUACCCAUUGUCUAACCAGUCCCAAUAAGAUGAGCCAGGUUGGAAAUGCCGAAAUCACCCACCUUCUGCAUCAAUCUCGCUAGUAGCUAUAGACCAGAGCUGUUCCUAUUCCGCCAUCUUGCAGAAUUAUUAUUAUUUUUGUAUUUGUAUUUGUAUUCUGUAUUAUUAUUUUUGAGACAGGUUCUUGCUCUGUCACCCAGGCUGGAGUACAGUGGCACCACCAUGGCUCACUGCAGACUACCUCCUGGGCUCAAGCAAUCCUCCCACCUCAGCCUCCUGAGUAUGUGGGACCACUGGCAUGUAGCACCAUGCCCUGCUAAUUUUUUCUAUUAAAUUUUUUUUUGUAGAGACAAGGUUUUGCCAUGUUGCCCAGGCUGGUCUUGAACUCCUGAGCAAGCAAUCCACCCACUACACCCUCCCAAAAUGCUGGGAUUACAGGAGUGACCCACUGUACCUGGUCAAUUUUUUUAAUAUUUAAAGAAGGUUCAAAAUUUGUGUAAGUGUCCACCUCACAUCACAAUACUAGUUCUGUCCUUGGCUGUGUCUUAGCUCGAGAAAUAUAAGUGCCUUUCAAGGAGAUCUUGGCAAUGGGGAAACUGGAGGAAUACAUACCCUGAUCUUUUUCAUCUGCCACCUUCUGACCUUCAAACCCAAAGAGAAGCCAGAGAUUAAGGGGGCCCAUAUAUUUCAGUCCAUAGAGUUCAGUCCCUCUGGACAUAAGCAGGGUGGUGAUGGGACAAGCAGAACAUAUGCAGCAUUGUGGAGAACCUCAGUGGUUGCCAUGAGGACCACAAUGGUUGCCAUGAGAACUGCAGUGGUUGCCAUAAUGGGU
rnacentral:lncRNA from 13 species